UACGUAGGGGGCGAGCGUUGUCCGGAAUCACUGGGCGUAAAGGGCGUGUAGGUGGUUAAAUAAGUCAGGUGUUAAAAUGCGGGGCUCAACCCCGUAAUGCACUUGAAACUGUAUAACUUGAGGACAGGAGAGGAAAGUGGAAUUCCUAGUGUAGCGGUGAAAUGCGUAGAUAUUAGGAGGAACACCGGUGGCGAAGGCGACUUUCUGGCCUGGCCCUGACACUGAGGCGCGAAAGCGUGGGGAGC
rnacentral:rRNA from 1 species